rnacentral:lncRNA from 11 species
GGUAACUCCACAUCAAAACUUCAAAAAGAGAAAGGGAACUAAUAUGCCAAAACUGAUCUGGCCCUUGAGCGCUCUAAUUGGAGGUCAGCUGUGACCAGCAGUGCUGCGGAGUUCAAAGAGGCACGAACGGAGGGCUUACGGGAGAAACGUGCCAAGAGGAAGGAGCAUCAAGCCAACCCCGACCGGGACCGCCUUCCACCUGGAAACCAAUGUCCUCACUGCGGGAGAAUAUGCGGGUCAAGAAUCGGUCUCUUCAGCCACCUAAGAACACAC